GCCCGGCUGGCUCUGUUGGUAGAACACGCGACUCUUGAUCUCGGGGUCGUGAGUUCGAGCCCCACGCUGGGUG
rnacentral:tRNA from 1 species